rnacentral:rRNA from 1 species
UACAACGCACUACCUGUUCAUAGUAGUCGUUGCUGUCAACAGCACACUGCUCACUAUCAACGCAGGGGACUACAUCUUCUACACAGACUGGGCGUGGACGUCCUUCGUUGUGUUCUCGGUGUCGGAGGCGACGAUGCAUGCUUGAGGAGCAAUAUGAUACAGGUUGCUGAUAGGUGUUUUAGGCCACGCAACGUGUUAAGAAACAGUAAUUACCAUCCAAAACUGUGUACGAAAGUGCUUGUCGUUUGACCCUAGAUACACCUAGACAUUCAUGCGCCACAAACAGCAACCAGCACGCUGCCAUCCUGAUUGGCUGUACGUCAGUUGGCAUACCCUUCCCUCUCUUCAACAUGGUCAACCUGUUGCUUGUAAGGGACCCGCUCGUGGUGGCCUUCAAGUAUCCGAGACCAACUCUGCCCGCGUAAAUGACGCCUGUAGAGCCUCAGGUAGGGAAGUUCUGCAACUCCCCUGUCGCCCUGGGUUCAGGUGCCGGUGCAGUGCUAACGGUACCCAUCGCUGCGUUGGGUGCAAAACUAAACACGUGG